AAUCCACAGAGCCCUCACUUGUAAUUUUUGGUCAAGCUUGGCGUUGGCUUGGCGACCGGACUUGGAGAUCCCCGAUUGAUCCAGCAGAGUUCCUUUUAGGCCGAGGCUUCGUUUGCUGCCAGGAGAUAGCACUUUAGAGCCACCGGUGCAGGCUGCUGCUUCUUCCGCUGAGCAGGAUCGCGGCAAGGGCGUUGCGAGUUAGAGCCCUACCCGAUCGACUGAGCUAGAGGCGUCUUCCCCACACUUCAGGUAGUGCUAUUUUGGAGUUUAUGUACAUAGUGGUUGAACUCGCCAGUGCGAGUGGUGUUGCAUUUUGGAUUCUGGAACUAUG